GACGAACGCUGGCGGCGUGCCUAACACAUGCAAGUCGAGCGAAGUGAUUUUCGAUGAAGUUUUCGGAUGGAUUCUUAAAUCAUCUUAGCGGCGGACGGGUGAGUAACGCGUGAGAAACCUGCCUUUCACAAAGGGAUAGCCUCGGGAAACUGGGAUUAAUACCUUAUGACACUUUAACCUCGCAUGAGGAAUAAGUUAAAGCGUAAAGCGGUGAAAGAUGGUCUCGCGUCCUAUUAGCUAGUUGGUGAGGUAACGGCUCACCAAGGCCAUGAUAGGUAGCCGGCCUGAGAGGGUGAACGGCCACACUGGAACUGAGACACGGUCCAGACUCCUACGGGAGGCAGCAGUGGGGAAUAUUGCACAAUGGAGGAAACUCUGAUGCAGCGACGCCGCGUGAAUGAUGAAGGCCUUCGGGUCGUAAAAUUCUGUCCUUGGGGAAGAUAAUGACGGUACCCAAGGAGGAAGCCCCGGCUAACUACGUG
rnacentral:rRNA from 1 species